GAUUAACGCUGGCGGCGUGCCUAACACAUGCAAGUCGAACGAGGUAGCAAUACCUAGUGGCAGACGGGUGAGUAACGCGUGGUCAACCUACCGUUGAGUGGGGGAUAACUAGCCGAAAGGUUAGCUAAUACCGCAUACGUCUCCGAGUGGCAUCACUUGGCGAUAAAAGGAGCAAUCCGCUCGAUGACGGGACCGCGUCCCAUUAGCUAGAUGGUGGGGUAACGGCCUACCANGGCACCGAUGGGUAGCUGGUUUGAGAGAGCGACCAGCCACACUGGGACUGAGAAACGGCCCAGACUCCUACGGGAGGCAGCAGUGAGGAAUUUCCGCAAUGGGCGCAAGCCUGACGGAGCGACGCCGCGUGUGGGAAGAAGGCC
rnacentral:rRNA from 1 species